rnacentral:ncRNA from 1 species
ACCAGCUUUUGGCGCCCAAGUAGCGAUGUCGCUUUUUGAUCCUUUGAUCAUCUUCCUACCAUUGUGAAUCAAAAUUCAGCAAGCUUUGGAUUGUUCACUCAUGGAACGUAAGCUUGGUUUAGACCGUGAGACAGGUU